rnacentral:rRNA from 1 species
GAGUUUGAUCAUGGCUCAGGAUGAACGCUGGCGGCGUGCUUAACACAUGCAAGUCGAACGGUGAAGCCCAGCUUGCUGGGUGGAUCAGUGGCGAACGGGUGAGUAACACGUGAGCAAUCUGCCCCUGACUCUGGGAUAAGCGCUGGAAACGGCGUCUAAUACUGGAUAUGAACCGUGGAGGCAUCUUCAACGGUUGGAAAGAUUUUUUGGUCAGGGAUGAGCUCGCGGCCUAUCAGCUUGUUGGUGAGGUAAUGGCUCACCAAGGCGUCGACGGGUAGCCGGCCUGAGAGGGUGACCGGCCACACUGGGACUGAGAUACGGCCCAGACUCCUACGGGAGGCAGCAGUAAGGAAUCUUCCACAAUGGGGGCAACCCUGAUGGAGCAAUACCGCGUGCAGGAUGAAGCGUUUCGGCGUGUAAACUGCUUUUAUCACCGAAGAUUAUGACCGUAGGUGAAGAAUAAGGACCGGCUAACUACGUG